rnacentral:tRNA from 1 species
AGCUCUGAGGUGUUUUACAUACCGGAUUGCAAAUCCAGAGAAGCAGGUUAGUGUCUGCCGGGGCUU